UAGCAACUUACAGGAGCAGUUAUGUGCUUUUCUCAAGAAACACCGAUAGAUUUUUCACGUAGUCGGCUUUGGGAUUUGAACCAGCAAUCUUCCAGUUGCUGGCCCAACGCUCUUAACCACUAGGCUACCUGACACCGGAGUUCUGUGGAAGUCAUAUUUGGACAUAGUAGAACACUGUGUGUUAGUCAUUUUAUCUCAACCCAACUGUGCGUUUGUUGAUCUUUUCCCCUCAACAAACCACUGUUUCAAUUCUCUGUCAUCCUAAACUCUUGGCUGCCCUCUGUCUGUUGUAGGAGGGGGUAACAAGGAUUGGACCUCAGGACAAACUGGUUGAAUCACAAAUAGUCCUCCAGGGCGGCACCACCUGUGAGAUAGAGAACCAGUCUGGGGUUGUGACCCUGAGGCCGCUGCCAGGGACUGUCUGCAUGAUCAAAGACAGGGAGGUGACGGAGCCCUGCAGACUGGCACAAGGGACCUUGAUCACACUUGGAGGUGUCCACAAGUUCCGUUUCAACCACCCAGCAGAGGCUGAGGUCAUGAGAGAACAGAGACGGGCCAGUGAAGGUGCACUGAACUGCAGCUACAAUGAUUUUCAAGCCUUGACCUCUGAUUCCAGGUAAACACACACACUGAAUGUAAACUCACC